rnacentral:rRNA from 1 species
AUUGAACGCUGGCGGCAGGCUUAACACGUGCAAGUCGAGCGGAGAUGAGGUGCUUGCACCUUAUCUUAGCGGCGGACGGGUGAGUAAUGCUUAGGAAUCUGCCUAUUAGUGGGGGACAACAUUCCGAAAGGAAUGCUAAUACCGCAUACGUCCUACGGGAGAAAGCAGGGGAUCUUCGGACCUUGCGCUAAUAGAUGAGCCUAAGUCGGAUUAGCUAGUUGGUGGGGUAAAGGCCUACCAAGGCGACGAUCUGUAGCGGGUCUGAGAGGAUGAUCCGCCACACUGGGACUGAGACACGGCCCAGACUCCUACGGGAGGCAGCAGUGGGGAAUAUUGGACAAUGGGGGGAACCCCGAUCCAGCCAUGCCGCGUGUGUGAAGAAGGCCUUAUGGUUGUAAAGCACUCUAAGCGAGGAGGAGGCUACUGAGACUAAUACUCUUGGAUAGUGGACGUUACUCGCAGAGUAAGCACCGGCUAACUCUGUGCCAGCCGCCGCAGUAA